rnacentral:lncRNA from 1 species
AUGAAGAAUAAUAAAAAAGAGAUUAUAAAAAAUGAAUAUACAGAUUAUGUAAAUAUGAAUGAAAAAUUUACCAAUAAUGCAAAAAUUUUUAAUUUACUAAACAAAAAAGUAGACGCUGAUACAUAUGUAUAUAGUGAAGUAAAAAAUGAUUUUAUGAAAGAAAUAAAUUUACCAAAUACUUAUAAUUAUGAUGUAAAUGUAAUAGAAAUAUGUAAAAAAGACGUAAAGGCAUUUUAUAGAUAUGUAGUUAAACAUAUUAAUAAAAAAAAAGAAAAAUUAAAAAUAUAUUAUAUUAUUAGUAAUUUUUUAUUUUUUUUGUCUAAAAUGCAUAAAAAUACUAUAAAUUUUGAUGACAAUGUUCAUAAAGAUAUUAAUCGUAAUUUUGAUUAUAAAACUAUAUUAAUUCAGGGAAAUAUUUUACCUUAUAAUUUUUUUCUUUUAUUAAAAGCAUUACAUUUGAUGAGUACAUAUGGUCUAAUUAAAUAUUUUUAUAUGAAUGUUGAUUAUGAUGAAAGAAAAAAUAAAUGUCUCCAUUUUUUAAAUAUAACAGAAAAUAAAUUUUAUGAAAAUUUUAAAAAAUUUGAAAAAAAUAUUAAAUCUAAUUUUGUACAUGUAUAUAAUUUUUUACAUAAUAUGAUACCUGUACAUAAGUUUUUAAUAGCUCAAGGAAAACUGUAUGUAAAUUCAGAAAAUGUUUUUUUUUCAUUUGAUAAUAAUGAUCUUUUACAGCUUACAUAUACAGAAAACAAUAUAAAUAUAGACAAAAAUAAUGAAAAUGAGAAUAAUGCUUUAGUUUUAUAUGAAGAAAAUAACAAUGAUGAAUAUGGUUAUGCUCCAACAGAUAGUGGAACAAGUGGUAUAAUAAAAAAUAAAAAUAUCGAUACUAGUACAAAAGAUAUACUAUCCAGUACCAAUGCAACAUAUAAUAAUAUUUGUAAGGGAUAUAAUUAUUUAAUAUAUGAUCCUUUUAAUUAUAAUAAAAGUAUUGGAACUUUAAAAAAAACUAUUAAAAUAUUAACAUUAAAUAAUAUGCAAACUAUAUAUAAUGACCUAAUAGACACAAAUGAUAAUUGUACAAAAAUAAUAUUAAAAGAGAGAAAAAUAUUUUUCCUUUUUGAAUCUUAUGAUAAAAACACAUUUAUGUUACAAAAUGUAUUUUUUAAUGAAAUUUUUUUGGAUACAUAUAUUUCUGUUGUAUUUCUUUAUUAUAUUAAUAAUUAUAUAAAACAAGAGGAAGUGUUCAAAAAUAUUCCUUUAUUUAAACCUGCUUAUUUUAAUUUAAUGGUUGAACUUAUUAAAACAAAAAAACAAAAGGAAAAAGAACAAGAAGAAUUACAACAACUUAACAAUCAAAGUGGAGAUAAAAGUGGAGAUAAAAGUGGAGAUAAAAGUGGAGAUNNNNNNNNNNUGGAGAUAAAAAUGGAGAUAAAAAUAGAGAUAAAAGUGGAAAAAAAACAGGAAGUAUUAAUUAUAGUAAAUUGA